rnacentral:rRNA from 1 species
GUGACUCCUACGGGAGGCAGCAGUGGGGAAUAUUGCACAAUGGGCGCAAGCCUGAUGCAGCCAUGCCGCGUGUGUGAAGAAGGCCUUCGGGUUGUAAAGCACUUUCAGUUGUGAGGAAGGUGGUGUCGUUAAUAGCGGCAUCAUUUGACGUUAGCAACAGAAGAAGCACCGGCUAACUCCGUGCCAGCAGCCGCGGUAAUACGGAGGGUGCGAGCGUUAAUCGGAAUUACUGGGACGUAAAGCGCAUGCAGGUGGUUUGUUAAGUCAGAUGUAGAAAGGCCCGGGGCUCAACCUCGGAACUGCUAUUUAGAAACUGGCAGACUAGAGUACUGUAGAGGGGGUAGAAUUUCAGGUGUAGCGGUGAAAUGCGUAGAGAUCUGAAGGAAUACCGGUGGCGAAGGCGGCCCCCUGGACAGAUACUGACACUCAGAUGCGAAAGCGUGGGGAGCAAACAGGAUUAGAUACCCUGUAG